GAUGAACGCUGACAGAAUGCUUAACACAUGCAAGUCUACCAAGAAUCACUUCGGUGAGGAAUGGUGGCGGACGGGUGAGUAACGCGUAAAUAAUCUGCCCUUAGACUGGGAUAUCCUUUGGAAGCGAAGGUUAAUACCGGAUAUUAUGAGAUGGACGCAUGUUCAACUUAUGAAAGCUAAAUGCACUAGAGGAGGAGUUUGCGUCCCAUUAGCUAGUUGGUGAGGUAAAGGCUCACCAAGGCAACGAGGGGUAGCCGGCCUGAGAGGGUGAACGGCCACAAGGGAACUGAGACACGCUGCUUACUCCUACGGGAGGCAGCAGUGGGGAAUAUUUGACAAUGGACCAAAAGUCUGAUCCAGCAAUUCUGUGUGCACGAUGAAGGUCUUCGGAUUGUAAAGUGCUUUCAGUAGGGAAGAAAAAAAUGACGGUACCUACAGAAGAAGCGACGGCUAAAUAUGUGCCAGCAGCCGCCGUAUCAC
rnacentral:rRNA from 1 species